rnacentral:rRNA from 1 species
UACGAAGGGGGGCUAGCGUUGCUCGGAAUCACUGGGCGUAAAGGGCGCGUAGGCGGCCCGCUAAGUCGAACGUGAAAUCCCCGAGCUCAACUCGGGAACUGCGUCCGAUACUGGUGGGCUUGAAUCCGGGAGAGGGAUGCGGAAUUCCAGGUGUAGCGGUGAAAUGCGUAGAUAUCUGGAGGAAUACCGGUGGCGAAGGCGGCAUCCUGGACCGACAUUGACGCUGAACGGCGAAAGCUAGGGGAGCGAAACGGG